AUGUUCAAAAAACAUUGUCAACUUUAUAUGUUCAACAACACGGCAAACUUGCCAUGGCAACUUUGCCAUGUUCCAAAGCAUCACAAUUUAUAUAUAUUCAAAAAACAUGGCAACUUAGUAUGUUCAACACGGCAAACUUGCCAUGGCAACUUUUGCCAUGAUCGAAAACAUAUCAAAGUUGUAGAUGUUCAAAAAACAUGGCAACUUAAUAUGUUCAACAACACGGCAAACUUGCCAUGGAAACUUUGCCAUGUUCGAAAACAUCACAAAUUUAUAAAUAUUCAAAAAACAUGGCAACAUACUAUGUUCAACGACACGAUAAACUUGCCAUGGAAACUUUACCAUGUUCAAAAACAUGGAAAAGUUGUAGAUGUUCAAAAACAUGGCAACUUAUUAUGUUAA
rnacentral:rRNA from 1 species